GAUGAACGCUAGCGAUAGGCUUAACACAUGCAAGUCGAGGGGCAGCAUGGUCUUAGCUUGCUAAGACUGAUGGCGACCGGCGCACGGGUGCGUAACGCGUAUGCAACUUGCCUCACAGAGGGGGAUAACCCGUCGAAGGACGGACUAAUACCGCGUACACUCCAUCUUGGGCAUCCAAGGUAGAGGAAAUGAAAUUCGCUGUGAGAUAGGCAUGCGUCCCAUUAGCUAGUUGGUGAGGUAACGGCUCACCAAGGCGACGAUGGGUAGGGGAACUGAGAGGUUGAACCCCCACACUGGUACUGAGACACGGACCAGACUACUACGGGAGGCAGCAGUGAGGAAUAUUGGUCAAUGGGCGAGAGCCUGAACCAGCCAAGUCGCGUGAAGGAUGACUGUCUUAUGGAUUGUAAACUUCUUUUAUACGGGAAUAACAAGAGUCACGUGUGACUCCCUGCAUGUACCGUAUGAAUAAGCAUCGGCUAACUCCGUG
rnacentral:rRNA from 1 species